UUGGACGCUAGCGGCGGAUGGGUGAGUAACACGUGGGCAAUCUGCCCUAAAGACUGGGAUAGCACUUGGAAACAGGUGCUAAUACCGGAUAACAACGUGAAUCGCAUGAUUCAAGUUUGAAAGGCGGCGUAAGCUGUCACUUUAGGAUGAGCCCGCGGCGCAUUAACAAGUUGGUGGGGUAAAGGCCGACCUAGGCGAUGAUGCGUAGCCGAGUUGAGAGACUGAUGGGCCACAUUGGGACUGAGACAC
rnacentral:rRNA from 1 species